GAAAUGCGAUACGUCAUGCGAAUUGCAGAAACUUGUGAGUCAUCAAAACUUUGAACGCAACUUGCACUUCCGAAAGGGAGUAUGUCUGUUGGAGUGUCUGUUCAUCCCCACUUCCGCCCCCAACCUCGGUUGCGGUCUCGCGGGCAGUGUCGGCCGCUUGUCGCACGCUCUCCGGAGCGACGGACAAUUGAGUCUAGAUGAAACACCAAUCAACCGAACUCGCCCCUGCUCUUGCCAAAGAGAGCUCGGACGACGCGACGUGGGUCUCACGACAAACAGCGCGUCUUGCAUCCGAGCCUCCCUUCGGUACACCAAAGAGAGCCCCGGCAUACCAUGAGUUCAUCCGAUCGGACCUCCAAUCAGGCAAGAAUACCCGCUGAAUUUAA
rnacentral:misc_RNA from 1 species